rnacentral:rRNA from 1 species
GGAGGAAAGCAGGGGAUCGCAAGACCUUGCGCUUUUGGAGCGGCCUAUGUCUGAUUAGCUUGUUGGUGAGGUAAAAGCUUACCAAGGCUUCGAUCAGUAGCUGGUCUGAGAGGACGGCCAGCCACACUGGGACUGAGACACGGCCCAGACUCCUACGGGAGGCAGCAGUGGGGAAUUUUGGACAAUGGGGGCAACCCUGAUCCAGCCAUGCCGCGUGAGUGAAGAAGGCCUUCGGGUUGUAAAGCUCUUUCAGCCGGAACGAAACGGUUACGGUUAAUACCCGUGACUACUGACGGUACCGGAAGAAGAAGCACCGGCUAACUACGUGCCUGCAGCCGCGGUAAUACGUAGGGUGCGAGCGUUAAUCGGAAUUACUGGGCGUAAAGCGUGCGCAGGUGGUUUUGUAAGUCAGAUGUGAAAUCCCCGGGCUCAACCUGGGAACUGCGUUUGAAACUACAAGGCU